rnacentral:rRNA from 1 species
GACGAACGCUGGCGGCGUGCUUAACACAUGCAAGUCGAGCGGAGCGGCGAACGGGUGAGUAACGCGUGCGUAACUGCCCCCCUCUCUGGGAUAACAGUUGGAAACGGCUGCUAAUACCGGAUAGUGGGGGAUGACUCGGGUCCUAUCAGCUUGUUGGUGGGGUAGUGGCCUACCAAGGCGACGACGGGUAGCCGGCCUGAGAGGGCGACACGCCACAUUGGGAUGGGAUACGUGCCAAAGUCAUACGGGGGGCAGCAGUGGUGGAUAGUGCACACUGGGGGAAACGCUGAUGCAGCGACGCCGCGUGCGGGAUGACGGCCUUCGGGUUGUAAACCGCUUUCGGCCAUGACGCGGUAGUGGCAGAAGAAGCACCGGCUAACUACGUGCCAGCAGCCGCGGUAAUAC